UCAAUUUCCUAAAUCAGUUAAUUAACACUUAACAGAGUAAAACGAAAAAAAUUAGAAAAGGGGAAUUUAGGGUUGUUACUUGUGGCUAUCGGACUUCUUCUUCCCUAGUGAGCUCACGCAGACGGCUGUGCGCGAGACAUCCUUCUCUUCUCCGGCGAACGGCGCGACGGCCUCUCACCGUCGAUUCACAAUCUGAUUCCAUUCCGCAUCCCCCCUAUCUUUCUUUAUUCCAUAUCGUCCUCGGUUCCUUCCUCUUCGCAGAUUUAAUCACCACUUCGGUCAACAAGAAAGAUGAUAAACACGUGAUCCAGACGCUCACCAAUCGGAGUAUCCAGUGCCUCUUCCAAAAUCAAUGAGAGAACUCGAGAAAACUUCUCUGGAAUUCAACGCGAUGAUGAGGUUGAUGAUGAAGAUCGAAUGGAAGAGUUUGUUGAUGAUGAAUUGCGAUUGGUUAUGCUGUUCGGUGAUGGAAUUUUAUUGCAGAUUUCUGAAGAUUGUAGGAUAUGUGAGGAAGAUGAUUGGUGAACGAAGUUGAUUCGAGAGUGCGGUAUUGAAUUCAGCCAAAUGAAUGAGAGAGUGAAGGUUGGUUAAGGAUUGAAGAUGUGUUUCCAUGGAGAUGAAGAAGAUGAAGGUUCUGUUAUUCUCAGUUUUUGUAUGUGGUCAAGAUUGAAGAAGAUGGAGGAGAAUUGAAGAUUGGUGAAGGUUCAAUCGAAGGUGAAGUUGAGGAAGUUUGUUACGUUUUUGCGAGAAGUUUUGUUAUCUGAUGAGGAUGAGCAGAGAGAAAGGUUGGAGUAGAUGGUGAUACGGUGAUGGAUGGUGAUGAAGAUUGAAGAUAGUGAAGAACAGUUCAGAGAAAGAGAGUUUCUUGGUUCAAAGUUUGUUACAUUUCGGUUAUCCGUUCCUUUUCUGAAUUUUCUCUGCUAUUUUCUGUUAUCUUUUCUUUCUCCCCCUGUUGCCGAUUUCUGUUAUGUAUUUCUUUGUCGUGAAGUUUCUGAAUCCCUUUCUUCUGCUAAUUUCUCUUAUUAAGAAAACUCUUUCCUGAAUUUUGUGAACUGGUUUUAUUUGGGCUGCAGGGCGGGAACCGAGCCGGUUUGGUUUUUAUUCUUCUGUGGCUGGUUCAGUUUUUUCCUUUUGUUCUCAGGGCUGCAACUUGGUGCGAUGCAGGGUUGGAAGCUGUUGAAUCGGUUUCCUUGUGUUGGAUGCAAGGCUGCAAGUUUUUUUUUUUGAAAUUUUUUUGUAUAACAUGAAUUAGGCUUGUGAUUAUAAUGAGCCUUUUUUCGUGUAAUUCAAAUUUUGGUAAUGAAUUGUAUGGGCUCUUGGUUUUUGUUGUAAUUUUUGGACAUUUGAAUGAUACUUGAACUUUGGAUGAAUAAUGAUGUAUAGAUUUUGAAAGAAUGAAUAAAUUGUUUUCAACAAAUUGUUAUUCAAUCCACACGACAAAUUUCCACCACUCAAAGUAAUCAUCCCUUCCAAACUGAUCUUUAAAUUCUCAUGAAGCUUCUUUUGAAUAUUGAACAAUGAAUCUUUUACUUCCACAAGCAAUUAGAUCAAGAUCAAUCAUGUAUCCAUUAUCUCCGAAGAAACAUACAAAUCUCAUGAAUGAUUAA